GCCUUGGUGAUUCAGUGGUAGAAUUCUUGCCUCCCACAUGGGAGAUCCAGGUUCGAUUCCCAGCCAGUGCA
rnacentral:tRNA from 1 species